GAAAGUUACUAAGGGCGCACGGGGGAUGCCUUGGCUCUCAGAGGCGAUGAAGGACGUGAUAAGCUGCGAUAAGCGUCGGGGAGGUGCAAAUAACCUUUGAUCCGGCGAUCUCCCAAUGGGGUAACCCAUCCGUUUGAAGACGGAUAUCUGCUCUAUAGCAGAAGCGAACGCAGAGAACUGAAACAUCUUAGUACCUGCAGGAAAAGAAAACAAUAGUGAUUUCCCAAGUAGUGGCGAGCGAACGGGAAAAAGCCCAAACCGUAUUUGUUAUGGCAAGUACGGGGUUGUAGGACUGCCAUCACAGCCAAAUUACAGAUAUUCGAACAUUCCUGGAAAGUUGGGCCAUAGAGGGUGAUAGCCCCGUAGAAAAAAUCUGUAUCCGGCCAGGCAGUAUCCUGAGUAACGCGAGACCGGAGAAAUCUUGCGCGAAUCCGCCAGCACCAUCUGGUAAGGCUAAAUACUACUGAGAGACCGAUAGCGAAUGAGUACCGUGAGGGAAAGGUGAAAAGUACCCCAAACAGGGGAGUGAAAUAGAACCUGAAACCGUGCGCCUACAAGCGGUCGAAGCUCCGAUGUUUAUCGGAGUGACGGCGUGCCUUUUGCAUAAUGAGCCUACAAGUUACGCCUCUCUGGCAAGGUUAAUUCCGUUAACGGAUGGAGCCGAAGCGAAAGCAAGUCCUAAUAGGGCGCUGAGUCAGAGGGGGUAGACGCGAAACUUUGUGAUCUACCCAUGGCCAGGCUGAAGUCCCGGUAACACGGGAUGGAGGGCCGAACCGGUAAACGUUGAAACGUCUUCGGAUGAGCUGUGGGUAGGGGUGAAAGGCUAAUCAAACUGAGAGAUAGCUCGUACUCCCCGAAAUGUUUUUAGGAACAGCCUGGGGUCUACUGUCUUAGAGGUAGAGCUACUGAUUGGAUGAGGGGGUCUCACCGCCUGCCAAAUCCUGAUAAACUCCGAAUGCUAAGACAUAAUACCCUGGAGUGAGGCCGUGGGUGCUAAGGUCCAUGGCCGAGAGGGAAACAACCCAGAUCAUCAGCUAAGGUCCCUAAAUGUAUGUUCAGUUGUUCUAACGAGGUCUGACUGCAUUGACAGCUAGGAUGUUGGCUUGGAAGCAGCCAUUCAUUUAAAGAGUGCGUAACAGCUCACUAGUCGAGCGGUCAGGCGUGGAUAAUAAACGGGCAUAAACAUACUACCGAAGCUAUGAACUGCCGAUAAAAUCGGCAGUGGUAGGGGAGCAUUCCAGUCUGCACCGAAGUCCCGAUGUAAAUCGAGAUGGAGCGUCUGGAAAAGAAAAUGUAGGCAUAAGUAACGAUAAUCCCGGUGAAAAACCGGGACACCGAAAGACUAAGGUUUCCUGAUCAACGCUAAUCGGAUCAGGGUUAGUCGGGACCUAAGGCGUACCCAAACGGGAUAGCUAAUGGAUAUCAGGUUAAUAUUCCUGUACUUCCUUACAGUGCAAGGUAGGGACGUGAACAUCAGGUGCUUACGUACUGACGGAAUAGUGCGUCGAGCCUAGCCUUUGGGCGAAGCAAAAGCAAGUAGUGUCCACCAAGAAAAGCUACCAAAGCUUCAGCUGUAAGGAACUCGUACCGCAAACCAACACAGGUAGUCGAGGAGAGUAUCCACAGGUGCUCGAGUGAUUCAUGGCUAAGGAACUAGGCAAAUUGACCCUGUAACUUCGGAAGAAAGGGUCCCCGACUACGGUCGGGGCGCAGAGAAAUGGCCCAGGCGACUGUUUAACAAAAACACAUGGCUUUGCUAAAUCGAAAGAUGACGUAUAAGGCCUGACACCUGCCCGGUGCUGGAAGGUUAAGGGGAGAGGUUAUCCCGACUCGUCGGGAGAAGCUUCAAACUGAAGCCCCAGUAAACGGCGGCCGUAACUAUAACGGUCCUAAGGUAGCGAAAUUCCUUGUCGGGUAAGUUCCGACCUGCACGAAUGGUGUAACGAUCUGGGCACUGUCUCAGCCAUGAGCUCGGUGAAAUUGUAGUAGCGGUGAAGAUGCCGCUUACCCGCAACGGGACGG
rnacentral:rRNA from 1 species